rnacentral:lncRNA from 1 species
GGGGGGAGAUCUGUCGAUGGAGGGACUAGAGACUGUCCAAGGAGGAAGGUACAGCUGGGUAAAACUUAUCCUGGAAAUCGCCAGCCAGAUGGUGUGUCUGGACGAGGGCUGCUCCAGCGGGGCUCAUGACGCCCAGUUGAGAUGGUGGACAGAGGGAUGAAGACGUCCCUGGUCCCCUCCCAGCUGUAAAUCUGCUUUUAUACCACUUUAAUUACAUGCAAAUAAUAAGGUGAGUUCUAGGUUGAGGAAGAAACAAGACAAUAAACACAAAUAGUCAAGGAACAAGCAAGGCAAUAAACAAAGCCCCAUGAUCACUUUAUCUAAGGGCUGAUCAGGAUGACCAGGAUAUCUGAGCCUACGUCUUUUUUCUAGCUCAAAAUGGUGGGACCACCAAUGGAAAGCUGAAAAUGAGUAUUAAUGUUAGUGAGCAUGGUGCCACCUUGGCCAGGGGCGUGGAUUCCAUUCAGCAUCUCCAAGAUCUGCAGCCUCCAUCUAUGGAGGCUUUCUGGAGGCAGUCACCUGCGUUGUGCCCUGGCUGUCCUGAAAUUCUCUCUGUUGACCAGGCUGACCUUGAACUUGGAGGAUCACCUGCCUCUGCUUCUGCCUCCUGAGUCCUGGGAUUAAAGAGGAGCGGAGAUGGCAGCGGGCGGAACGAAGGGAGGAUUGGAGGAGUCUGCGCAGAGCGAUCAAGUUGGGAGUCCUGAGCGACAGGCCCUCCAGAGGACAGCACAGCGAGCGAGCUCGGGCACUGGUGAUUUAGGAUCCAAUCCAGCAGGAUGCUGAAGGGCACGGUGGCUGCCAGAGAGAUUGGUGAGGCAUGCUGAUGCUGGGACAAAGAAUGAUGCUGACCGUGACCUUGCUGAGUGCCAUGAUGAUUGCAAUAGGGAAGCUGUAGAGGACAUAAGUGCCUGACCCAUCUUUGUUUCUUUCUUCUGUAUGGUCGAGGCCAGAAAUACUUGUGACUUCUAAUAAUUCUCAGCUGUUAGAAUUCCCUUGGUCUGAGAGUAAGAAGUAUUCCAAACUGGUGAAUUACACUGCUAUGGGUCAGGGCCUCCCCAUUUGUUUUACUAGAAAUAGUGCCAAUGCUGGAUGUGUUUCUGUGGACUCUCAGGCUUGGAAGAAGAAUAUCUCUAAGACUGUAGUGCGAGCAUUGAGAUGGGAAUGCCUGUAUCUCAGACUGGACAGGCUGCCUCGCCUCAGGCUUUUGGACAUUGAAGGACAGAGAACAUGGAGACUGUGGAGCCUGUCUUCAAAAAAAAUCAAUCAAUCAAA